UUUUCGCAACAUUGACGCAACCAAAAAUACUGGAACAAAAGAGACAACUUCCUUGAAGCUUUGCUGAAACUGCACUUGGUCGGAGCAAUGAAAGGAAAAGCUCGCUGUCAAUUCUUCCGGAUGGUAAAAACGUCGAGGUGAGGGGGGUGUCACCGGAGACGGGCUGAGCCGGGGCUGCCAGCGUCGGAGAUGCAGAUGAUCGCUCCGACAUGCAUCCACAGUGUGCCCAAGUUCCACUCGCUGCAAAAACAAAAAGUGUUUUGGAUCAGCUGUGCCACAAAUGGACACAAAGUCGGCGGCGCCACAUCAUUUAGGUGAAAUAUGUCGAAUGGAAACGGUGGGGUUGAAGUGUUGUCCUCUCCAAUCAGGUAUGUGUGUGGUGUUUUUCAAAAUAAGUUUGUGCGCUUUUUUCUGCAUAUUUUAAACAUUUCGGAGCGCGCUACACCGCUGCAGCCUCAUCAGGGCGUGAAAUUAUUGUGGUCUUGCAU